GGGCGGCAGACUACACAUGCAAGUCGAGCGGAACGAUCCUAGCUUGCUAGGAGGCGUCGAGCGGCGGACGGGUGAGUAAUGCAUAGGAAUCUGCCCGGUAGUGGGGGAUAACUUGAGGAAACUCAAGCUAAUACCGCAUACGCCCUACGGGGGAAAGCAGGGGCUCUUCGGACCUUGCGCUAUCGGAUGAGCUUAUGUCGGAUUAGCUGGUUGGUGAGGUAACGGCUCACCAAGGCGACGAUCCGUAGCUGGUCUGAGAGGAUGAUCAGCCACAUCGGGACUGAGACACGGCCCGAACUCCUACGGGAGGCAGCAGUGGGGAAUAUUGGACAAUGGGGGCAACCCUGAUCCAGCCAUGCCGCGUGUGUGAAGAAGGCCCUCGGGUUGUAAAGCACUUUCAGCGAGGAAGAAUGCUUGUCGGUUAAUACCCGGCAAGGGAGACAUCACUCGCAGAAGAAGCACCGGCUAACUCCGUGCCAGCAGCCGCGGUAAUACGGAGGGUGCGAGCGUUAAUCGGAAUUACUGGGCGUAAAGCGUGCGUAGGCGGCUUGAUAAGCCGGUUGUGAAAGCCCCGGGCUCAACCUGGGAACGGCAUCCGGAACUGUUAG
rnacentral:rRNA from 1 species